rnacentral:lncRNA from 1 species
GAGUGCAGUGGCGCCAUCUCCGCUCACUGCAAGCCCCGCCUCCCAGUUUCACGCCAUUCUCCUGCCUCAGCCUCCUGAGUAGCUGGGACUACAGGCGCCCGCCACCAUGCCCGGCUAAUUUGGUUUUUGUAUUUUUAGUAGAGACGGGGUUUCACCGUGUUAGCCAGGAUGGUCUCCAUCUCCUGACCUCGUGACCUGCCCGCCUCGGCCUCCCAAAGUGCUGGGAUUACAGGUGGGGUGUUUCUUAAAGAAGGUUUCGAGUACAUUUAACACAAAGAGGAAGCAUGUGUCACCGGUAGAGGGUCGUGACUGCAAGUUGUCCAGGUUCUUGGCGUUUUGAACAAAGAAUUGGACAAAAUGUUCUUCAAAGAAAGAAAGAAUGAAGCAACAAAAGAACGAAAGCAGGGAUUUAUCGAAAACGAAAGUACAAUCCACAGUGUGGCAGCACACCCGAGCAGCUGGGCAAGGGCCCAGAUACAGAAUCUUCUUGGGUCCAAAUGCCCCCUAGAAGUUUCCCAUUGGCCAUUUCAUGCUCACCUCAUGUAAAUGAAGUGGUAGCUCACAAUCAGUCUGAUUGGUUGCAGAAAGCAGCCAACCAGAGGCUGGAGUGAAGUUACAAAGGUCACACUGCUGUGCAAACAUCUGCUCGGUUACAAAAGGCAACCAAUGAGAGGCUAGGAUGAAGUUACAAAGUUAUGCUUCUAUGGAAACAAAGACUUGGCCUGCAACCAGUCUGAUAGGUUGUGGAAAGCCAAUUUCCCAUCUGCUGUGCAGAAAAGGUAGGGGGUUUGUAAAGGGAGUAGUAGCCUCUGGUCUUUUUGUCACUUAGGCGUGGAAAGUUAGGGUUUUCCUUUCAAUUUAGUUCUAGGAAGUUGGCGUGAAACAGCCUUAGGUUCCCUGUCUCCAGACCCUAUUCUCCUGCCUCACCUGGAUUGUGAGCCCGGAAAAUAUAUAUUCACUACAUCAAUAAAUGUGUUUCUUUCCCUCCGUAGGAUUGUAAGCUCUCAGGGCGGGGAUUAUAUGGACUUCACCACUGUAUUCACAGUACUCACAACAGUGCCCAGUGCAUAGAAGGAAAAUGCUUAGUGACUAUUCAUUGAAUGAAUAAAUUCCCCAAAGUGGAAUAACCAGCUGAACCCACUCUCAACCAGCUUAAUUCCAAAGAACACCCAACCAUGGUUAAAAUUUUUCACUUUCAGCAUACCUAAUGUUUUGCAUCAUGAUUUCAACCAUGUUAAGUUUAUGAGACCUAUUCUUUUUUUUUAUCACAAUUAUUGGUACUUUCAUUUUUCUUUCUACUUUAUAAGACAAUAAUGCAAUAAGAUGUUUAAAUACCUACAUUAUUGUACAGAUGAAAAUGAUGCCACUGCCCAAACAUUGUUGUUGGCCAGGCAAGGCCACUUGAAACUGUAGAUCAAAAUGCUCACCUAUUAGUGGAGUAUGACCAUCUGAACUUACCAAAAGUAGUUUCAAGUUGUAUACUUUAAGAAAGUGCAAGCUAUUUGGAAGUUGGAUACAUGAAAGCCAAAGAUUUCCAAAAGUGGGUUUCCAAAGUUCAGACACUUUAAUACUAAUUUCAUUACUUUUACAUUUAUUGAGAACCUACUGCGUGAAAAGUGCAAAGUUUGGUUCUUGGGAUGGGGUGGACUGUAUGAGGAAAAGGGAAAAUAAGGAUACUUCCUUAAAAUCUGGUGGUGGAAAAAGAAGCAUACAAAAUAAUUUUAAAACAAGGAAGACUCCAAUAAA